rnacentral:rRNA from 1 species
UAGGAAAGUAGCGAAGCACAUGAUGACGGCUUCCAGGAAAAGCUUCUGGCAAUGCAUAUGCGGCCCGUACCAAAACCGACACAGGUGGGCAGGGAGAGAAUCCCGAGGUGAGCGAGAGAACUGUUGCCAAGGAACUCGGCAAAAUGACUCCGUAAGUUAGCGAGAAGGAGUGCUUAAGCAAUUAAGCCGCAGUGAAGAGGCCCAAGCGACUGUUUAACUAAAACACAGCUCUCUGCGAAGUCGCAAGACGAAGUAUAGGGGGUGACACCUGCCCGGUGCUGGAAGGUUAAGAGGAUCUGUUAAGAGCGAUCUGAAGCAGUGAUCCGAAGCCCCAGUGAACGGCGGCCGUAACAAUAACGGUCCUAAGGUAGCGAAAUUCCUUGUCAGGUAAGUUCUGACCCGCACGAAAGGUGUAACGAUUUGGGCGCUGUCUCGGCAGCAGACUCGGUGAAAUCUUAGUACCUGUGAAAAUGCAGGUUACCCGCAACUAGACGGAAAGACCCCAUGGAGCUUUACUGCAGCCUGAUAUUGAAUUCUGGUCAUACAUGUACAGGAUAGGUGGGAGACAAAGAGACGUGCACGCCAGUGUACGAGGAGUCGACGUUGGGAUACCACUCUUGUGUGACUGGGGUUCUAACCUGGUAUCGAGAACAGGUACGGGGAGAGUGUCAGGUGGGCAGUUUGACUGGGGCGGUCGCCUCCCAAAGAGUAACGGAGGCGCCCAAAGGUACGCUCAGAUUGGAUGGAAACCAAUCGUCGAGUGCAAUUGCAGAAGCGUGCUUGACUGUGAGACAGACAAGUCGAACAGGGACGAAAGUCGGGAAUAGUGAUCCGGCGGUGCCGAAUGGAAGGGCCGUCGCUCAACGGAUAAAAGCUACCCUGGGGAUAACAGGCUGAUCUCGCCCAAGAGUUCACAUCGACGGCGAGGUUUGGCACCUCGAUGUCGGCUCAUCGCAUCCUGGAGCUGGAUUCGGUUCCAAGGGUUGGGCUGUCCGCCCAUUAAAGCGGUACGCGAGCUGGGUUCAGAACGUCGUGAGACAGUUCGGUCCCUAUCUGUUGUGGGCGAAGGAGAUCUGCGGAGAGCUGUCCUCAGUACGAGAGGACCGGGAUGGACCUACCGCUGGUGCACCGGUUGUUCCGCCAGGGGCAUAGCCGGGUAGCUAAGUAGGGAAAGGAUAAGCGCUGAAAGCAUCUAAGCACGAAGCCUACUCCAAGAUGAGAUCUCCCAUUCGCAAGAAGUAAGACCCCUUAAAGACGAUAAGGUAGAUAGGCCAGGGAUGUAAGUGCAGUGAUGUACGGAGUUGACUGGUACUAAUCGGUCGAGGACGAG